ensembl:lncRNA
GUGGAGGUGAUGUUAUAAUCCUUGCUAUGAGGCUGGGUGGAGGUGACGUUAUAAUCCUUGCUAUGAGGCUGGGUGGAGGUGACGUUAUAAUCCUUGCUAUGAGGCUGGGUGGAGGUGAUGUUAUAAUCCCUGUUAUGAGUCUGGGUGGAGGUGAUGUUAUAAUCCCUGCUAUGAGUCUGGGUGGAGGUGAUGUUAUAAUCCCUGUUAUGAGGCUGGGUGGAGGUGAUGUUAUAAUCCCUGCUAUGAGUCUGGGUGGAGGUGAUGUUAUAAUCCCUGCUAUGAGUCUGGGUGGAGGUGACGUUAUAAUCCCUGCUAUGAGGCUGGGUGGAGGUGAUGUUAUAAUCCCUGCUAUGAGUCUGGGUGGAGGUGAUGUUAUAAUCCCUGCUAUGAGGCUGGGUGGAGGUGAUGUUAUAAUCCCUGCUAUGAGUCUGGGUGGAGGUGACGUUAUAAUCCCUGCUAUGAGUCUGGGUGGAGGUGAC